rnacentral:rRNA from 1 species
UACGAAGGGUGCAAGCGUUACUCGGAAUUACUGGGCGUAAAGGGUGCGUAGGCGGUUGUUUAAGUCUGUCGUGAAAUCCGGGCUCAACCUGGGAAUGGCGAUGGAUACUGGCGAGCUAGAGUGUGUCAGAGGAUGGUGGAAUUCCCGGUGUAGCGGUGAGAUGCGUAGAGAUCGGGAGGAACAUCAGUGGCGAAGGCGGCCAUCUGGGACAACACUGACGCUGAAGCACGAAAGCGUGGGGAGCAAACAGG